CCUACGUGUGGCAGCAGUGAGGAAUAUUGGUCAAUGGCCGGAAGGCUGAACCAGCCAAGCCGCGUGAAGGACGAAGGUGCCAAGCAUUGUCAACUUCUUUUGUCAAGGGACAAAAUCAGUCUCGAGAGCCUGACCGAGGGUACUUGAAGAACAAGCAUCGGCUAACUCCGUGCCAGCAGCCGCGGUAAUACGGAGGAUGCGAGCGUUAUCCGGAUUUAUUGGGUUUAAAGUGUGCGCAGGCGGCGGUGCAAGUCCGCGGUCAAAUUGCGGGGCGAAACCCCGUACUGCAGUUGAGACUGCAGCCCUUGAGUGCGCGAGAAGUAUGCGGAAUGCGUGGUGUAGCGGUGAAAUGCAGAGAUAUCACGCAGAACUCCGAUUGCGAAGGCAGCAUACCGGCGCGCAACUGACGCUCAUGCACGAAAGCGUGGGUAUCGAACAGGAUUAGAUACCCCAGUAGUC
rnacentral:rRNA from 1 species